GGCUAGAUAACAUAAUGGUAAUGUAAAGGACUGCAAAUCCUUUAAUGACGGUUCAAGUCCGUCUCUAGCUU
rnacentral:tRNA from 2 species